AAGUAGGAGAAGUGGGUUCAUAUCUCUAGGAAAAGGGCUGGCUCUGAGGGCUGCGUGCAUAGCGCCAGUGUGUCUUUCGUCAGUUGGAGCUGUGCGGUCCCGUUCGCGGAUAGCGGCGCCUCUGUGGACCGCCGGCAGCGACUGUAUUAUGACCUCUGGUGUGCGUGCACAGUGAACAGCUAAUGCAGAGCUGGAGCGGACAAGGGUAAUCCGACUUUUAAUUAAAGCAAAGCAUUGCAAUGGCCGCAAACGGUGUUGACGCAAUUUGAUUUCUGCCCGUUGCUCUGGAUGCCAAUAUGAUUAAAUUCGACCAGGCGCGGGCUAAGGGCAAACGUACCUAUGACGUUCUUGAGGUAGCCAAAUGCUUCGCCAUAUAAUUGAUGACGUGCAUGAAUGGAUUAACGAGAUUCCCAAGA
rnacentral:ncRNA from 1 species